rnacentral:rRNA from 1 species
UACGGAGGGGCGUAGCGUUGUCGGAAUUACUGGGCGUAAAGGGCGCGUAGGUGGCCCGACAAGUCUGUGGUGAAAGCUCGACGCUCAACGUCGAGUCGGCCAUAGAUACUGUUGGGCUGGAGCACUGUAGAGGCUCAUGGAAUUCCGGGUGUAGCGGUGAAAUGCGUAGAUAUCGGGAGGAACACCUGUGGCGAAAGCGGCUCACUGGACCGCAACUGACGCUGAGGCGCGAAAGCUAGGGGAGCAAACAGG